CAAUGAGGAUAACAGGUACACCGGCUGUUCAGGGUUGCGUGGCCAUGCGAUGAUGUCCCUGUAAAUCACAGGGCACAAAGCUGGACGCGUGGCAAGGGCUCCAUCGGAUUGGCCACUUACGUUUGCUCUAAGACGUACCUUGUAAGUUUCCAUUGUGAUCGAAGUCACAAGGCUCCACCAGAAACGCAGGGCUGGUACACAGGCAUUCAUAUUUAGAAACCAUUUCCCCCGGGAGAUUCUACAUGCCUGAUCCGAUUCAACUCCCUCAUUUACAGGUACAGUGAUCCCAUCUGUCCCGCUCAGCAUUCUAAGAAAGCAGUGUCCUGCCUCAUGCACACAGGGUGCCUUGAAAGACAAAGCCUGUACCUCCCUGAGCAGCUGUGGAUUAAGAGAUGUGAUGAUGGUGGGGCUAGAGAUACGGCUCAAAGGUGAAAAGACUUGUAUUCGGCUCCCAACAUCCCCUUCAAGGUCCCAAGCAGCUCUGUACAGGGAAGAUGCACAUCUGCCUUCUGUGAGAUGAGAAUCCAUCAAAGAACAAGAGAGCGGGGAAGGCCCUAAAGAACAUACAGUCCCACGUGUUCUUUUGACAGACAAGAAAACUAAGACUCCAAGAAGGAAGAAUAACAGCUCACCUGGAUAACAGAGCUGAGGGGCACGAAAAGAGUCUGGCUGCUGAAAUCUCAAGAAUGCUGGGUCUCUCCUAAGGCAUCUGAGAACCGUGUCCUUGGGCAGACAUCAGCAGCCUCCACACCAGCAAGGAGAAAACCGGGGAACUCAGUAUCCCAGACUCCAUCUCCUCUCCUCUCCAAUCUCUUGCCUCUGUUUUGGUAGGCCAAACAUUACUGAUUGCAGGUGAUCCCAUUCUCAGAGGCCAACCUGCAGAGAGGGACAACUGAAGCAAGAUGAGAAAGCCUGGCAGAGUUGGUUAAGGUGAUCAUCAUGGCAAGAGCCAUGGUCGUCUUCUCUCCACACUUUACCUCUGAGCCCAAUUUCUGCCCUCUCCUAAAGUCAUGUUGAAAUUUAACUGCGAUUAUCGGAGUACUAAGAGGUAGGGACCUCAGAGGUGUUUUUGUCAGGAGUGCAGUGUCCUGCAAAAGAGAUGAGCACAGCAAUCGCAGGAUGCUGGCUGGGUCGCCUCCCGGUCCUGUACUCUAUCAUGGAAGAUGCAACAAUGCCCUUGGUUUUGGUCUCAGAAAGAC
rnacentral:lncRNA from 1 species